UUAAAAGUGAUUAAAACUUUGUCAAAGAGGUGAGGCAAAUGCACACAUCAUAGAGAGCCAAGUGUAGGGGGUCUCUGAAUCACAGCAGUCAAAAGAAAAGUGCUUUAGGAGAUCAAGAAUGAGAUUGCUUCCAGCUGGAUAAAUGCAGACAGAUUUCAAAGGGAACUAUUUGAAAGUGAGUGCCAGAAGAAUGAGGACCUUCCCCACGUGACUGCUGUCGCCUUGUCACACUCAAGAAAUUUAACAUUGGCAGAAGAAAUCUAAUAUUUAAAUUUCCCCAACUGUGCCAGUAAUAGUCCUGUAUCUUUUUAUCUUCCAAUCUGGGGAUGCACUCAGGGACCUUGCAUUGCAUUUACUGUCGCAUCUCUGAGUCUGCUAAACAGACCUCCCCCCCACCCUGCCAGUAUCCUCCUGUCACUUCCUGUCCCCUGGUCAUUGUCACGAAUAUGCACACAACAACCACCAGGCCUAGAGGUGAUGCCCCUUGAUGUCCCCUUUACCCUUUAGACUCACACAGCUCAGGGCUUGCCUCCCUCCCUGCCCUCACCCCCCCGACCAAUGCCUGUGUAGGGACCCUUCUGUCUGUGUAGGGACCCUUCUGUCCCCUCUGUCGCCUGAGCAGACAAGGAGCUUCCAAGAGGCCGGAGGUCCCAGUUUGCUUUUCCCCUGUGUUCCCAGCAAUGACACAGGGUUGAGACAGCUGGGGCUGGGGGUUUAUAGAGUCAGUGGACGUUACCCAUCCAGGCAGGAGGCCUGGAAGGGCCGGGCCAGCCCAGGAGCGGCAGCAGAGCAAGACACCACAUUUUCUUUCCUGCCCUCAGGACAGCCACUCACUGGUGGAAGGCCUCAGGUGUGGAGGCCCGGAGUCUGCUCAAGCUCUAUGGGAUCCGCUUCGACAUCCUCGUCACUGGGCAGGCAGGGAAGUUCGGGCUCAUCCCCACGAUCAUCACUCUGGGCACUGGAGCAGCUUGGCUGGGUGUGA
rnacentral:lncRNA from 1 species